rnacentral:rRNA from 1 species
AGCGUAGGCGGCUUGGUAAGUUGGAUGUGAAAUACCCGGGCUUAACUUGGGGGUGCAUCCAAUACUGCCGAGCUAGAGUACAGGAGAGGAAAGCGGAAUUCCUAGUGUAGCGGUGAAAUGCAUAGAUAUUAGGAGGAACAUCGGUGGCGAAGGCGGCUUUCUGGACUGACACUGACGCUGAGGCUCGAAAGCGUGGGGAGCAAACA